rnacentral:rRNA from 1 species
UCCUGCCUAAGUUCCUUGGAACAGGACGUCAUAGAGGGUGAGAACCCCGUACGUGGCAGGCCGCCUUCGCCGUGUAAAGCCCCUUCGACGAGUCGAGUUGUUUGGGAAUGCAGCUCUAAAUGGGAGGUAAAUUCCUUCUAAAGCUAAAUACUGGCCAGAGACCGAUAGCGCACAAGUAGAGUGAUCGAAAGAUGAAAAGCACUUUGGAAAGAGAGUCAAAAAGCACGUGAAAUUGUUGAAAGGGAAGCGCUUGCAGCCAGACUUGCCUGCAGUUGUUCAUCCGGGCUCCCGCCCGGUGCACUCCUCUGCGGGCAGGCCAGCAUCAGUUUGGGCGGCCGGAUAAAGGCCCCAGGAACGUAGCUCUCUCCGGGGAGUGUUAUAGCCUGGGGCGCAAUGCGGCCAGCCCGGACUGAGGUCCGCGCAUCUGCUAGGAUGCUGGCGUAAUGGCUGUAAGCGGCCCGUCUUGAAACACGGACCAAGGAGUCUAACAUCUAUGCGAGUGUUUGGGUGUAAAGCCCGGGCGCGUAAUGAAAGUGAACGGAGGUGGGAACCCCCUGGGGUGCACCAUCGACCGAUCCUGAUGUCUUCGGAUGGAUUUGAGUAAGAGCAUAGCUGUUGGGACCCGAAAGAUGGUGAACUAUGCCUGAAUAGGGUGAAGCCAGAGGAAACUCUGGUGGAGGCUCGCAGCGGUUCUGACGUGCAAAUCGAUCGUCAAAUUUGGGCAUAGGGGCGAAAGACUAAUCGAACUAUCUAGUAGCUGGUUCCUGCCGAAGUUUCCCUCAGGAUAGCAGUAACGUUUUCAGUUUUAUGAGGUAAAGCGAAUGAUUAGAGGCCUGGGGGUUGAAACAACCUUCACCUAUUCUCAAACUUUAAAUAUGUAAGAAGUCCUUGUUACUUAAUUGAACGUGGACAUUUGAAUGCACCGUUACUAGUGGGCCAUUUUUGGUAAGCAGAACUG